rnacentral:rRNA from 1 species
AGGGCACCACCAGGAGUGGAGCCUGCGGCUUAAUUUGACUCAACACGGGAAAACUCACCCGGCCCGGACACUGGAAGGAUUGACAGAUUGAGAGCUCUUUCUUGAUUCAGUGGGUGGUGGUGCAUGGCCGUUCUUAGUUGGUGGAGUGAUUUGUCUGGUUAAUUCCGGUAACGAACGAGACUCUAGCCUAUUAAAUAGAUCGUUGGCUUACAAACGCCGGCGAGACUUCUUAGAGGGACAGGCGGCGAUUCAGCCGCACGAAACAGAGCAAUAACAGGUCUGUGAUGCCCUUAGAUGUCCGGGGCCGCACGCGCGCUACACUGAAGUGAUCAGCGUGCAUUUUGAAACCUACUCUGUCAAGAGUGGGGAACCCAAUGAACCUUCUUCGUGAUUGGGAUAGGGGAUUGUAAUUAUUCCCCUUGAACGAGGAAUUCCCAGUAAGCGCGAAUCAUAAGUUUGCGCUGAUUACGUCCCUGCCCUUUGUACACACCGCCCGUCGCUACUACCGAUUGAAUGUUU